GCUGAAUCCAGAAAAGGGAAGAUUGGCAUCCAGAGUGUUUGGAGAGUGGGCCCAUAAGAGAACAUUGUGUGUGUAUGUGUGUGUGUGUGUGUGUGUGUGUGUGUGUGUGUGUGCACGUGCACGCACGUAUGUGUUGGGGGCUGUGUAGCUUCUCCUAACUUCACCAUGCAGAAGUCAAGGAAACGGUUACAGAGGCAAAAUGUGGGAGUAGCUAAUGGCAAUGGCCCAGAGAGAUGAAAAAAUGUGAGAAAACCAAAGCUUGGAGGUAGGAACUUUCCGAUUCUUUUGGAGUAGACUAAGGUGACUUAAGUAGGAAAAGAACGCAUAGCCAGUAACUCUCCCAACAGAACUGGAUUCGUGCCUGGGGUGAUUCAGGAUGUCCAGUUAAGCUGGGAAAUACUGAUUCCACUGAUCCCCUUCAUUCACUCAGAGCAGACCGAAGACUGUGAGACUUCCUCCCCACAGUGAGCUAAAAGGACGCUUUUGUCAGAGUGGGGAAAUAAAAGGGCUUUAUGGGAAGGAAGAUAAGAACAGAUGAGUCAGAGGUUUCUGCUUAAUGCUCACUCUUCAAUUCUUUCCCGAGCAAAACCAAGAAUCUUCUUGGGCUAAGCCCCAAUUUGGGGUUCACCUGCCUUGCAGCAACAUGGCACCAAACAUGCGGCAGAAGAGAGAAAACGACAGCAUGAGAGACGGAGAAAGAAAUGGCCAGUUGGCAAGGUGGUAAUGAGAGACAGCAGUUGGCAAGACAGUGAGAGACAGCAAGAGAUGGUGGUACAGCCAAGCAGACAGGCAAGUAAGUGGCCAUACUGCUACUGCCUCAUGUAGGAUCCGGCAGGCUGGUGGGUUAUCAGUCCUCACGUGGGACCCUCCCACCAUGGCAGCUGAGCACAUCCAAGCUGGGGGAUCCUGAAGAGACCUUCACCUGGGUGCCACGUGGAAGAUUGGCCAGCACCAUUUUGACUCCUGUGGAUGGGAAACCCUGGAACAGUGUCUAUAAGUCAUGAAAAACAGAGCAAUUGAAAUGGAAUCUCACUUGGGACCCCAGUCACUGCUCCAGACUGACCAGUCAGUGGACAAGGCUUCUCGCAUUGCUCACCAGCACCCAAACUGCACCUGGUCACCUGUCUACAUUCAGAUUUAGAUGAAAGCCACACCAUGGAGGCAGCCAGAGGCCCAUGGGAGAUGUCUGGAUUCGCAGAGGAAUAGCUCCAUGUGAUGCAAACCUUGACUAAUGGGAACAGGAAAAGGGAGGAAACCAGGAAGAUAAAUCUCCCUCCCUUCUCAUUGCUCCUUGCAACCCUUCCCACUUGAAGCAUGACCACAUUUAAUGAACAACCUGCUGUGUCUCUUGGAAGCUUGCUGCAAGGCAGCAAUCAGCACAAUAACAUUGUAUUGUAUCUUCCUCUGCUUCACUUCUCUUCCUCCCUCACCCUCACUGCCCUGAGCUGGCACAUCCCAAAGAAAGCAUUACCACAUUAAUCCUUGUCUCAGACUCUGCUUUCAAGAGGAUCUAGGUGAAGGAAAUUCCUAUUACUCCACCUCUUCAUCACCUCUUCAAAUGUCAGACUUUAAAAAUGGUGUCAUUUUGUUGAGUGUAUCUCAUUGUGGUUUUAAUUUGCAUUUUCCUGAUUAUGAAUGGGGUUGGCUAACUUUUCCUAUGUUUAUUGGAUUUCUUCAUUUUUGAAGUGCUUGUUUAAGUUUUCUACUAAUUUUUCUAUUGGGUUGUCUUUUUUUUUUCUUUCUUUCUUUUUAAGACAGAAUCUUGCUCUGUUGCCCUGGCUAGAGUGCAGUGAUGUAAUAAUAGCUCACUGAAACCUCGAACUCCUGGGCUCAAGCAAUUAUCCCAUCUCGGCCUCCCAAGUAGCUGGAACUACAGGUGUGCACCACUACCACCAUGC
rnacentral:lncRNA from 1 species